rnacentral:rRNA from 1 species
UAGGGAAUCUUCGGCAAUGGGGGGAACCCUGACCGAGCAACGCCGCGUGAGUGAAGAAGGUUUUCGGAUCGUAAAGCUCUGUUGUUAAGGAAGAACGAGUGUGAGAAUGGAAAGUUCAUGCUGUGACGGUACUUAACCAGAAAGGGACGGCUAACUACGUGCCAGCAGCCGCGGUAAUACGUAGGUCCCGAGCGUUGUCCGGAUUUAUUGGGCGUAAAGCGAGCGCAGGCGGUUAGAAAAGUCUGAAGUGAAAGGCAGUGGCUCAACCAUUGUAGGCUUUGGAAACUGUUUAACUUAAGUGCAGAAGGGGAGAGUGGAAUUCCAUGUGUAGCGGUGAAAUGCGUAGAUAUAUGGAGGAACACCGGUGGCGAAAGCGGCUCUCUGGUCUGUAACUGACGCUGAGGCUCGAAAGCGUGGGGAGCGAACAGG